rnacentral:misc_RNA from 1 species
AAGUCGUAACAAGGUUUCCGUAGGUGAACCUGCGGAAGGAUCAUUAACACGUAUCCACGUAAACCAAUGUGAACUGUUUUCGCCCUCCCUUUGCUGCAAAUGAGUUGGAAUUAAUAAUAGCGAUGAUGAGGAGUCUUCACGGACUCAACUAUUAUUUAACACUUCGGCUUGCCGAGACAACUGGAUUGUAGUAAAGGCAUAUUCUUAAAGCUUUGAUUGCCAUCAUAAUCGUGGCUUUAGGAAACUAUAUUUACCAUUUUCACCCCUUUUGCUAGUUGACUUUUUUAUGUUGUUCUUUACGCAAGUAAGGUUCACACGUUUAUUACUUGAACGUUAAAAAUACAACUCUUAGCAAUGGAUGUCUAGGUUCUC